UUUGGUUCCUGCUGCUGCCAUUAGGCAGCAGCCCUGCCUCCCCUGCUCCUUAACCCAUUCCCAGCAAUCCUCUAACCUCAGUUUUGCUAGAUUUCUAGGAACAGACCUCUUGGCUAUAAUCUUUUAGAGUUCUAAAGUUAUCCCAAUUGGCCUAUAAAGCUUUGGCUCCUUGGUUUAGUGACUGUUUCAACAGAGUAGGCAAAGGAGUUUGUCAAGCUAGAAUUACU
rnacentral:lncRNA from 1 species